AACUUCUUCGUUUUAUGUCCAAAAUUAUUGUUCUUUUUAUGGUUGAAAAAGUUCGUUGAAAUAUUUUUCCAGCCAUACCAAUCUUACUACAUAAAUAUCAACAUACAAAAAGUGGUAAGUUCUGAAGUUUCUGCAAAAUCAACUAGGAUUUCAAUUUUCUCUCAAAUCAAAAAACGAAAAUUGAGGAAGCAGCUGAACUCUAAACAAUUAUAUACAUAACUCAAAAUUUUCGUUAAUUUUAGACAUGUUAUCAAAAGAUGCCAUUAAAAACCACAUUAGGUUUCAAAACAUUGUAUACAGGAUUUAUAACCCAAUUGAAUCAUGUAGCAUAUUUAAGCAUGUAUACAACAAGGAAUUCAAUCUUAUGGCUUUAUUACCAAUGAAAGAAAUUGCAGCAAGCUUGAACAUAAAUUCAUAUCAAUAAUUCUUAUUUAAAAUGACGAAUUCCAUGAUCUUUAUGUGGUUAAAUCAUCUUGCUAUUGUAUGUCCUGAAUUUUUCAUAUUUUAGAACUCCAAUGAUCUCAAUUCCGAUCACAACGGAAGGGGAUUAUUAUCCACAAUCCAAGUGCCUAAUUUUAUGGUUCUUGGCAUUUUUCAAUUUUGGUGGUAUUUUUCAUACGAAUUUUACCAUAUUUUUUGCCAUUUAUCAUCUCUCUUUGUCCUAGACAAUUAUUGGAGGUCAUGUAGAUUAGUUAAGGGAGGUUAUGAAGAGUUGUAGGUUUGAAUUUCAAGUUCAAAUCAAUUUUUCCAACCCACAUUUUUAAUAUCUUAUGGGUAGAGAUCAUCCCACAUGAGUGAUUCACGAUCCGUAUUUUUC
rnacentral:lncRNA from 1 species